CAUAGGUUAAUGAGGCGAACCGGGGGAACUGAAACAUCUAAGUACCCCGAGGAAAAGAAAUCAACCGAGAUUCCCCCAGUAGCGGCGAGCGAACGGGGAGCAGCCCAGAGCCUGAAUCAGUGUGUGUGUUAGUGGAAGCGUCUGGAAAGGCGCGCGAUACAGGGUGACAGCCCCGUACACAAAAAUGCACAUGCUGUGAGCUCGAUGAGUAGGGCGGGACACGUGGUAUCCUGUCUGAAUAUGGGGGGACCAUCCUCCAAGGCUAAAUACUCCUGACUGACCGAUAGUGAACCAGUACCGUGAGGGAAAGGCGAAAAGAACCCCGGCGAGGGGAGUGAAAAAGAACCUGAAACCGUGUACGUACAAGCAGUGGGAGCACAGAGCAAUCUGUGUGACUGCGUACCUUUUGUAUAAUGGGUCAGCGACUUAUAUUCUGUAGCAAGGUUAACCGAAUAGGGGAGCCGAAGGGAAACCGAGUCUUAACUGGGCGUUAAGUUGCAGGGUAUAGACCCGAAACCCGGUGAUCUAGCCAUGGGCAGGUUGAAGGUUGGGUAACACUAACUGGAGGACCGAACCGACUAAUGUUGAAAAAUUAGCGGAUGACUUGUGGCUGGGGGUGAAAGGCCAAUCAAACCGGGAGAUAGCUGGUUCUCCCCGAAAGCUAUUUAGGUAGCGCCUCGUGAAUUCAUCUCCGGGGGUAGAGCACUGUUUCGGCAAGGGGGUCAUCCCGACUUACCAACCCGAUGCAAACUGCGAAUACCGGAGAAUGUUAUCACGGGAGACACACGGCGGGUGCUAACGUCCGUCGUGAAGAGGGAAACAACCCAGACCGCCAGCUAAGGUCCCAAAGUCAUGGUUAAGUGGGAAACGAUGUGGGAAGGCCCAGACAGCCAGGAUGUUGGCUUAGAAGCAGCCAUCAUUUAAAGAAAGCGUAAUAGCUCACUGGUCGAGUCGGCCUGCGCGGAAGAUGUAACGGGGCUAAACCAUG
rnacentral:rRNA from 1 species